GAUGAACGCUGGCGGCGUGCCUAAUACAUGCAAGUCGUGCUAACAUACGAGGAGCUUGCUCCUCUGACGUUAGCGGCGGACGGGUUCGUAACACUUGGAUAACCUACCUAUAAGACUGGGCUAACUUCGUGAAACCGGAGCUAAUACCGGAUAAUAUAUUUAACCGCAUGGUUCAAUAGUGCACGACGGUUUUGCUGUCACUUAUAGAUGGAUCCGCGCCGCAUUAGCUAGUUGGUAAGGUAACGGCUUACCAAGGCGACGAUGUGUAGCCGACCUGAGAGGGUGAGCGGCCACCCUGGAACUGAGACACGGUCCAGACUCCUACGGGAGGCAGCAGUAGGGAAUCUUCCGAAAUGGGCGAAAGCCUGACGGAGCAACGCCGCGUGAGUGAUGAAGGUCUUCGGAUCGUAAAACUCUGUUAUUAGGGAAGAAGAAAUGGGGAAGGAACAACGCACGGCUGUACGUUACCUAGCCAGAAAGCCACGGCUAAGUACGUG
rnacentral:rRNA from 1 species